rnacentral:rRNA from 1 species
UACGGGGGGGGCAAGCGUUGUUCGGAAUUAUUGGGCGUAAAGGGCUCGUAGGUGGCCAACUAAGUCAGACGUGAAAUCCCUCAGCUUAACUGGGGAACUGCGUGUGAUACUGGAUGGCUUGAAUUCGGGAGAGGGAUGCAGAAUUCCAGGUGUAGCGGUGAAAUGCGUAGAUAUCUGGAGGAAUACCGGUGGCGAAGGCGGCAUCCUGGACCGAGAUUGACGCUGAACGGCGAAAGCUAGGGGAGCAAACGGG